ACGAACGCUGGCGGCAUGCCUAACACAUGCAAGUCGAACGAGACCUUCGGGUCUAGUGGCGCACGGGUGCGUAACGCGUGGGAACCUGCCCUUAGGUUCGGAAUAACUCCCCGAAAGGGGUGCUAAUACCGGAUAAUGUCUUCGGACCAAAGAUUUAUCGCCUUUGGAUGGGCCCGCGUUGGAUUAGCUAGUUGGUAGGGUAAAAGCCUACCAAGGCGACGAUCCAUAGCUGGUCUGAGAGGAUGAUCAGCCACACUGGGACUGAGACACGGCCCAGACUCCAAGGGGAGGGGGAAGGGGGGAAGUAGGAAGAGGGCGAAAAAAGUGCACCCAAAAGAGCCGCGGGAGGAAAGAAGCUGUAGGGUUUGAAAGCCCUUUAAACCAGGGAUAAUAAUCAGAGUCCGGGAAAAUAAACCCCCGACAAUCGCCAGC
rnacentral:rRNA from 1 species